CGAUCGAUGAUGACACCCUCACAUGCAUUCUUGGAAAAUUGAACAAAAUGAGUGAGAACUCACUACCGUCUCCUCAUCGAAACUGAGGUCC
rnacentral:snoRNA from 1 species